rnacentral:lncRNA from 1 species
GCCUCUAGAGAAUGUAACCUCACAAUGAUAUGAUGUUGGCUUCAUUGCACUUAGUUAAGUCAUUCCCACCAUGCUUAGUGCGUGAAGGGGUUCAAGAAUAGCCUCACGAUGAUACGAUGUCGGCCAUCCUCGUUGCCUACACUCACCUCAUCAUAUGUGUAUGGAUUCCUGCUGAGUAUAAGCAUGCACUUUGUACUCCCCCAUGA